GACGAACGCUGGCGGCGUGCUUAACACAUGCAAGUCGAGCGGUAAGGCACCUUCGGGUGUACACGAGCGGCGAACGGGUGAGUAACACGUGAGUAACCUGCCCUUCUCAUCGGAAUAAGCGUUGGAAACGACGUCUAAUGCCGAAUAUGACUUCGGACCGCAUGGUCUGAAGUGGAAAGCUCCGGCGGAGAAGGAUGGACUCGCGGCCUAUCAGCUAGUUGGUGAGGUAACGGCUCACCAAGGCGACGACGGGUAGCCGGCCUGAGAGGGUGACCGGCCACACUGGGGACUGAGACACGGCCCAGACUCCUACGGGAGGCAGCAGUGGGGAAUAUUGGACAAUGGGCGCAAGCCUGAUCCAGCAACGCCGCGUGAGGGAUGACGGCCUCGGGUUGUAAACCUCUUUCAGCAGGGACGAAGCGCAAGUGACGGUACCUGCAGAAGAAGGACCGGCCAACUACGUGCCAGCAGCCGCGGUAAUACGUAGGGUCCGAGCGUUGUCCGGAAUUAUUGGGCGUAAAGGCUCGUAGGCGGUUGGUCACGUCGGGAGUGAAAACUCAGGGCUCAACCCUGAGCGUGCUUCCGAUACGGGCCGACUAGAGGUAUGCAGGGGAGAACGGAAUUCCUGGUGUAGCGGUGGAAUGCGCAGAUAUCAGGAGGAACACCGGUGGCGAAGGC
rnacentral:rRNA from 1 species